rnacentral:miRNA from 1 species
UAGGUUUUGUGGUUCUUGUGAAAUA